rnacentral:rRNA from 1 species
CCUACGGGGGGCUGCAGUGAGGAAUAUUGGUCAAUGGACGAGAGUCUGAACCAGCCAAGUAGCGUGAAGGAUGACUGCCCUAUGGGUUGUAAACUUCUUUUAUAUGGGAAUAAAAUGUUCCACGUGUGGGAUUUUGUAUGUACCAUAUGAAUAAGGAUCGGCUAACUCCGUGCCAGCAGCCGCGGUAAUACGGAGGAUCCGAGCGUUAUCCGGAUUUAUUGGGUUUAAAGGGAGCGUAGGUGGAUUGUUAAGUCAGUUGUGAAAGUUUGCGGCUCAACCGUAAAAUUGCAGUUGAAACUGGCAGUCUUGAGUACAGUAGAGGUGGGCGGAAUUCGUGGUGUAGCGGUGAAAUGCUUAGAUAUCACGAAGAACUACGAUUGCGAAGGCAGUUCACUGGACUGCAACUGACACUGAGGCUCGAAAGUGUGGGUAUCAAACAGGAUUAGAUACCCGUGUAGUC